UCACUUUUGCUUUACUUUUUCAAUUGUGUCAUGUACUUUGCAUUUGUCUACUUAUUUGUCUACUUAUUGUAGUGCCAGCUGAAUUCAGAAAUACUGAUGAGUGAUUAUUUACUUUAUGUACUGAUGGGCUGCUUGCAUUUUAUUUAGGGAAUAGAGGCUGCAAGGUAGCUGGAAUCUGAAGGCAUACAGACACAUUUAACCUUUGUCUACAGGAUCCAAAAGCCUUGGUCAAGACUCAUUCAUGUUUGUUCCUAAUGAGGAAAACUUGUUGUCACAUUCCCAGAGAAAGAUGGUUCAGUGAUGCAUGGACUGGAAAGUCUAUCUUGAACAGCCAACCUUUGUAUCUGCUAUCAAAUCUUUCUUUUAUAAUAAGGAUGGAGGGAAUUGUAAAUGGCACUCUUCAAUCCUUAUUUUGUUACCUUAAAUAAAUGAAUAACUAAAUGUUAGAUGCUAGUCACAGUAGUGUACCUUCUAUCAUAUUUGUAUUUCUUUGUAUUGUGGAAUAACUUUCACGUGCAUGUGCCUAAAGUAAUUGGUUAUGUCUCAGUGAAUUGAAACAUUCAGAGUAAUACAGAUAUUUUCCUUCUGUAUACUUAUAUGGCUAUUUGCUUCCACUGGGAUG